UGUUAUGGCGACUGUGCGCGGGAUACCUUCGGGUAUGUCGAGUUACUCAGAUCUCGGUCCGCGAACCCGCGUACAGUUGCCACCUAA
rnacentral:antisense_RNA from 1 species